rnacentral:rRNA from 1 species
GGGUUGUGAGGUUAAGCGACUAAGCGUACACGGUGGAUGCCCUGGCAGUCAGAGGCGAUGAAGGACGUGCUAAUCUGCGAAAAGCGCCGGCGAGGUGAUAUGAACCCUUGACCCGGCGAUGUCCGAAUGGGGAAACCCAGUGUGAUUCGUCACACUAUCGUUAACUGAAUACAUAGGUUAACGAGGCGAACCGGGGGAACUGAAACAUCUAAGUACCCCGAGGAAAAGAAAUCAACCGAGAUUCCCCCAGUAGCGGCGAGCGAACGGGGAGCAGCCCAGAGUCUGAAUCAGCUUGUGUGUUAGUGGAAGCGUCUGGAAAGUCGCACGGUACAGGGUGAAAGUCCCGUACACGAAAGCACACAGGCUGUGAACUCGAAGAGUAGGGCGGGACACGUGGUAUCCUGUCUGAAUAUGGGGGGACCAUCCUCCAAGGCUAAAUACUCCUGACUGACCGAUAGUGAACCAGUACCGUGAGGGAAAGGCGAAAAGAACCCCGGCGAGGGGAGUGAAAAAGAACCUGAAACCGUGUACGUACAAGCAGUGGGAGCACCUUCGGGUGUGACUGCGUACCUUUUGUAUAAUGGGUCAGCGACUUAUAUUCUGUAGCAAGGUUAACCGUAUAGGGGAGCCGAAGGGAAACCGAGUCUUAACUGGGCGUUAAGUUGCAGGGUAUAGACCCGAAACCCGGUGAUCUAGCCAUGGGCAGGUUGAAGGUUGGGUAACACUAACUGGAGGACCGAACCGACUAAUGUUGAAAAAUUAGCGGAUGACCUGUGGCUGGGGGUGAAAGGCCAAUCAAACCGGGAGAUAGCUGGUUCUCCCCGAAAGCUAUUUAGGUAGCGCCUCGUGAACUCAUCUUCGGGGGUAGAGCACUGUUUCGGCUAGGGGGCCAUCCCGGCUUACCAACCCGAUGCAAACUACGAAUACCGAAGAAUGUUAUCACGGGAGACACACGGCGGGUGCUAACGUCCGUCGUGAAGAGGGAAACAACCCAGACCGCCAGCUAAGGUCCCAAAGUCAUGGUUAAGUGGGAAACGAUGUGGGAAGGCCCAGACAGCCAGGAUGUUGGCUUAGAAGCAGCCAUCAUUUAAAGAAAGCGUAAUAGCUCACUGGUCGAGUCGGCCUGCGCGGAAGAUGUAACGGGGCUAAACCAUGCACCGAAGCUGCGGCA